UGGAUCAAGUGCUUGAAAGCUGAGCCCAGCU
rnacentral:piRNA from 1 species